ACACUGGUUUCAGCUGUUCAGUCACACAGUGUUCUCCAUGAUAUCUAAGUCAGGAAAUGCUAGUUUAAUGUCAGUUACUUAACCAGGAUCUCAGUCACAUUUGUUUCUCAUUUAAGAUCAUGAACUGUAAAUGGACAUUAGAGCUCCCAUUUUGCACGUAACAGGGAACUCUAGUUUUAAAAAUAUCAGGACUGAAAUGCCAAAGCUGGAACAAGAAAUGAGAAGGCAAGAAGAAGGUCAAGGGAAGAAUUAGGGAUAUAGGAGAAAUUUGAUUUCAUGAACCUACCUAAUUCACUCUUCCUGAAAUUAUACAUGAACUGAAUUGUACCUGUCCUUUGAAGAAUUCACACUUCUCCAAAAGUUGUGAAGUUUUGCAAACCCAUAACUGUAUGGAAAAAUGCAUGUAUUGUAUGAGAUCAAAGAGUACAUAAAGUGCACGUAAUGGUGAAUACAGAAUUCAAAUGCAUUAUUAUAUAUUUUUUUGUUUGCAAAACAGUGUAUAUUGGGAAAGAUGUGCGCUAACAUCCCGGUGAUUUUUGUGUGUGUGUUUGAUUACUUUUUCCUGUAAAAAUAAAUAAAUCUCAAACUGAUGCAGAAAAUAGGUUAACCAAAUUUAAGGACUGGGAAAUGAGAGAUAAAGGGGAAACCAACACAGAUAGAUGAGUAGGGAUUGUUAUGUUUUCUUUUCACCAUGAUCUUCUUUUAAAAUUACUGGGAACUGCCAUGUCAUUUGUGUUUUUACAGGUGUAAAAAUUCCUAGCCUCAUCAGAGCCCUGGAUAUUAUGUGUGCAGUAAUGGCUAUAAAAAUAGGGAAAAUAGGGAUGCUGGGGAACAGGCAUCCUCGUCCUGCAGGGCCUGCAGAUACAGAAGCACAUCUACAAGAUACCCAGUAAAUGCCCAACCAGUCAUUGUGCUCUGCAGGGAUCCUGCAGAUACCAUCUUACCAGAAGGGCAAUUCCAUCCCUUUGGAACUCCCUCCAUCAUUAGACAGGCACCACCUCUAUUGUCUUUUUGGCGUCUGUUGAACGUUUCCUUUUUCUGUAAACCUUUUAAGUGAAGAUCUUUAUUAGGACUGUGCGCAGCCCCCCAAUCUGAUCUGGGCUCUGAUCUGGUGCUUCAGAGCAACCACUAUCCGGCAUGGGAUGAUCUUGUUGUUGUUGUUUAGUCGUUUAGUCGUGUCUGACUCUUCGUGACCCCAUGGACCAGAGCACGCCAGGCACUCCUGUCUUCCACUGCCUCCCCUAGUUAGGUCAAACUCAUGCUGGUAGCUUCAAGAACACUGUCCAACCAUCUUGUCCUCUGUCGUCCCCUUCUCCUUGUGCCCUCCAUCUUUCCCAACAUCAGGGUCUUUUCCAGGGAGUCUUCUCUUCACAUGAGGUGGUCAAAGUAUUGGAGCCUCAGCUUCAGGAUCUGUCCUUCCAGUGAGCACUCAGGGCUGAUUUCCUUCAGAAUGGAUAGAUUUGAUCUUCUUGCAGUCCAUGGGACUCUCAAGAGUCUCCUCCAGCACCAUAAUUCAAAAGCAUCAAUUCUUUGGCGAUCAGCCUUCUUUAUGGUCCAGCUCUCACUUCCAUACAUCACUACUGGGAAAACCAUAGCUUUAACUAUACGGACCUGGGAUGAUCUAGGGCCAACUCAAUGCAGAUUGGCUCUGAACCAAAUUGGGGGCCUUGCAUAGUGAUUAAUUAGGGUUUUAACCCCCCCACCCCACCAACCACAUGUGUUGGUGGGGAUGCAGGCAGCCUGUAUCUCUUCCUACUCCUUACCAGCUGAUCACCCCUUUUGACAGCCUUGGAUCACUCCGGGUGAACCCCAUCUGGCCCAGGGCGAUGCUACAGCUGCCUUUACCACACUCCAUCUGAAUCUUGCGUUGACUCAGAUUUGGUCAGAGUGGUUGCAUGGGUCUGACCUUUUAUCCCAGUCUUUGGAUUUGAAAUAGUGCUGAUACGUGACAUGGCUUUGAGGGAUUUUAUGGGAAGCAAUUCGUAAAUGGAAUAUAAAUAAAUAAUAUAAAUAAAUAAAUGGCAUUCGGCCUCAGUAUCUUGAUGUUGAUCCAGAAAUCACUUGAAACACAUGUCUCUAGAUACAAAAGUUUCAAUUAAAAAAAUAAAAUCCCAGGCUAAUAAAUAAGAAGGACAAUUUCUUCUCAAAAAGCCAGAUUCCUAUCUACAGGACACUGGGGAUCUAGCAAAGAAUUGCCUACUGUUUGCCCUCAAAGUUCUUGAUUGGUUUCUCCUUCAUUCAAUGUAUGAUUCAAGGACAGAAAGGCUUGUGGAUGCCCCAUAUUCAUUUUACCAGUGUUUUCUCAUAGAAUUCAUUAAGUAGGAAAUGUCUUAGGAGUCAAAUAAGUCCAAGGUGCCAUAAGAUAAAUGUUAAUCAUAUAAUAUUAGUGCAUAGAAAAAGCCUUCUGAUGGAAACCAUAUAUCUUUUUCCUCUCGGAGCUAUUUUAAGUGUUACCCCUAGAAACACAAUUGUGUUUGGCAUCUAAGCUGGGCAGAGGGAGGUGAGGAGUGAAGGUCUGAAGCUGGUCCCUUGCCACUGGAACAGAUGGGCACAACAGGCCGGUAGCCAAAAGAUCCUAUAUGUGCAAUAAGUGUGAAAGUUUAGGGCACAGUUCCCAGCUUGCACUGCCAUAUGGCUUUUGCAGCCUCGAUUGUCAUUGCCUUCACUUAAGGGGGACCUCACUGGACUAAAAAUACUUAUCAAACACAACCAGUGACUUAAAAAAAUAAGGGAGGAAACUAGUCAUGAAAUAAUCAAUGGGGAAACAGAAUUAGGUAAGAAGUGGAAGGAGAAAGUGUGUGUUUGUGUGUUCAGCGAGGCUGGAUCAGCCCCCCGACUCCAGCAUCCCAUUCUUGCAAGGGCUAACAACUUCAAGAUAUUGCAUUAUGGGGGGAAAUAAUGAACAGCAGUUUGUAUCCAACAUUGUACAAGAGGACUUUCCUCUCCCCACCAAACAAAACAAAACAAAACAAAAUCCAGUAUGCAGGCCAGAUGUAAAGUUUUACUGUUUGUGUAAAAUAAAAAUAACGACAACAACAACAACAACAACAAACAAUAAACAUAGAUAUCUGUAAGAGUGCUUUCCUUGCUAUCUACUUGCCUCUUCACAGCCUCUUCACUACACUCAUCUCCUUGAGGUCAUAAAUGCACUGGAGGUUCUUUCCAUGCCCUUCUGGCCUAGGAACCUAAAGAUACAUAAUCACGAUAAUGAUGUUGUUGCUGAUGAUGAUAAUACCCCGUCCAUCUGACUGGGUUGCCACUCUGGGCAGCUUCCAGCAUCUAU
rnacentral:lncRNA from 1 species